UUAAGUUCAGCGGGUAGUCCUACCUGAUUUGAGGUCAGACGACAUGAAGUUGUCCGAAGACGAUUAGAAGCAUCCUUGACACGAGAGACGGAACGGCGUAUAAAGACUUAUCACACCGCUGUGACCGAUCUCGCGACGGAACGCUAAUGCAUUUCAAGACGAGCAGACCUCAUAAGAGGACUGCAACAUCCAAAUCCGAC
rnacentral:misc_RNA from 1 species